rnacentral:rRNA from 1 species
UGAANUUAAAGGCUGUGGCUCAACCAUAGUUCGCUUUGGAAACUGUCAAACUUGAAUGCAGAAGGGGAGAGUGGAAUUCCAUGUGUAGCGGUGAAAUGCGUAGAUAUAUGGAGGAACACCGGUGGCGAAAGCGGCUCUCUGGUCUGUAACUGACGCUGAGGCUCGAAAGCGUGGGGAGCGAACAGGAUUAGAUACCCUGGUAGUCCACGCCGUAAACGAUGAGUGCUAGGUGUUGGAUCCUUUCCGGGAUUCAGUGCCGCAGCUAACGCAUUAAGCACUCCGCCUGGGGAGUACGACCGCAAGGUUGAAACUCAAAGGAAUUGACGGGGGCUCGCACAAGCGGUGGAGCAUGUGGUUUAAUUCGAAGCAACGCGAAGAACCUUACCAGGUCUUGACAUCCCGAUGCUAUUUCUAGAGAUAGGAAGUUACUUCGGUACAUCGGUGACAGGUGGUGCAUGGUUGUCGUCAGCUCGUGUCGUGAGAUGUUGGGUUGAGUCCCGCAACGAGCGCAACCCCUAUUGUUAGUUGCCAUCAUUCAGUUGGGCACUCUAGCAAGACUGCCGGUAAUAAACCGGAGGAAGGUGGGGAUGACGUCAAAUCAUCAUGCCCCUUAUGACCUGGGCUACACACGUGCUACAAUGGUUGGUACAACGAGUUGCGAGUCGGUGACGGCGAGCUAAUCUCUUAAAGCCAAUCUCAGUUCGGAUUGUAGGCUGCAACUCGCCUACAUG